AUACGAAACGGGGUCGCCCUUGUCACAAUACACACCCCUGUGCACGUUGAAGGCCCGGCUCGUUGAGUGGGUGGGCGACCGCCCAGGAUUCGUAGCCUCGCUUUCUUACACAAACUUCGGAAUGUACAUCAGAAUGUCUUACGCGUGUAACGCAUCGUAAUAUAACUUUCAGCAACGGAUCUCUUGGCUCUCGCAUCGAUGAAGAACGCAGCGAAAUGCGAUAAGUAAUGUGAAUUGCAGAAUUCAGUGAAUCAUCGAAUCUUUGAACGCACCUUGCGCUGCUUGGCAUUCCGAGGAGCAUGCCUGUUUGAGUGUCACGAAACUCUCAACCCCUGCCAUCUUUGCGGAUGAGCGUCGGUUGGAUUUUGGAGGCUGCCGGACUCGUUCGGCUCCUCUUGAAAGCAUAGUGAAGCUUGGACCUGACCGACCGAGUGGACGUGAUAGAAAGUCACCGUCGACUGAAGGGUCCGUCGUUGAACGGUUCAAGCUUUGUUUCAUCGUCUUCGGACGAAACAUCUCUGACCUCUGACCUCAAAUCAGGUAGGACUACCCGCUGAACUUAAGCAUAUC
rnacentral:rRNA from 1 species